rnacentral:rRNA from 1 species
CCAGACUCCUACGGGAGGCAGCAGUGGGGAAUAUUGGGCAAUGGGCGCAAGCCUGACCCAGCAACGCCGCGUGAAGGAAGAAGGCUUUCGGGUUGUAAACUUCUUUUAAGAGGGAAGAGUAGAAGACGGUACCUCUUGAAUAAGCCACGGCUAACUACGUGCCAGCAGCCGCGGUAAUACGUAGGUGGCAAGCGUUGUCCGGAUUUACUGGGUGUAAAGGGCGUGUAGCCGGGCCGGCAAGUCAGAUGUGAAAUCCCAAGGCUCAACCUUGGAACUGCAUUUGAAACUGUGCAGCUAGAGUGCGGGAGAGGUAAGCGGAAUUCCUAGUGUAGCGGUGAAAUGCGUAGAUAUUAGGAGGAACACCAGUGGCGAAGGCGGCUUGCUGGACCGUAACUGACGUUGAGGCUCGAAAGCGUGGGGAGCAAACAGGAUUAGAUACCCCUGUAC